rnacentral:sRNA from 1 species
GCGCGGCCUAGGGUCGCUCCCGAACGCGGGUGUUCGCUCAUCCACCCGCCCGGCCGCGCAUCUAUUUCCCGGUG